rnacentral:lncRNA from 14 species
AUGGCUUUAACCAGUAGCCCCCUCCCCUCAUCGGAGCAGCGCGGGCCGCGCUGUUGCCCAAGCACUCAUCCCGAGCCCGACCGUGACGCGCUUUGAGGCGGCGAUCGCGCUCUCCCGGGCGCCGGACCUGUGCUGGCUGGGCUGCGCUCCCAGCUGAGUUUCCCGCUCCGCUCCGAGCCCGCGAGCGGCUCCGUGCAGCCUGCAGGUUAGCAGAGUGCUUUCCUGUGCCCUGUGUUGUAAAGAACAAGCUGAGGUCCUGUGUGUGUUUCUGGCUUGGUGUUUGCAGCCCCUGACAGCGAGCGCUGUCUGACAGAGCCAUCCAAGUGAGCACAAGCCAGUUGGUUGCACCCUGCGCCCAGAAGGGGAUUUCACAUUUGAAAGGAGCUCACCACAGAGGAGGU